rnacentral:lncRNA from 1 species
UUACUGUUGUGCAGAAGGUUGUAAGAAUAACAUAGACCAUCCAAGAGCAAAGCCUCUCAAAGACUUUAGAACGCUCCAAACGCAUUACAAGCGAAAGCACGGGGCGAAACCUUUUCGUUGCCGCAAAAAGUGCGAGAAGACAUUUGCGGUAAGAGGCGAUUGGAGAACGCACGAGAAGAAUUGUGGGAAGGUGUGGUUUUGCGUUUGCGGAUCGGAUUUUAAGCAUAAGAGGUCUCUCAAAGAUCACGUUAGGGCUUUUGGAGAUGGUCAUGCGGCUCACACGGUAGGUGAUCGUGUUGUAUCCAUUGGAGAAGGAGAUGAAGAUGAUGAUGAUGAUGACGACCAUAUGGAGGAAGAAGAACGAGAUGAUGAUGAAGAAGAAGAAGAUGGUAAUGGAGAAAGUGGUCGUGAAGAGAAGAACUACGGGAUUAGAUAUGAACACUUUCGUCGUUAUGGUCAAAUUUCUAAUGACAACCACUAAUUAAAUGACCAUUUUACGAUCCAUGGUGUUAACUAGGGUUUGUUUAAGCGAGAUGUGUUUGAUAUUAUAUUCUUCAUCACGGUUAGUGAAUUUUAAAGUAUCUUUUAGUAUGAAUUCCCGAAAUAAAUGUCUAGUGGAUUCGGAUUGUAAGUGCGUCUAACCUUGUCAUAGCUCCAUGCCUCCAUGGACCAUGAUCCAUCAAACAAUUUCUGCCUUUUUAGUAAUAAACUUUUUAGUAAUAAUAAUUAAUCGGUUUGCAUUUUCUUUUGUAACCGAGAGAUAUCUCAGAUCAAGGUCCGACUGUAAUGUGUAAACUUUAUAGAGCACCGCAAGUUUUUUCUUCUUGGAUCUAUAACAUUAUAUACAUGCUAGGAAAUAUAUGGACAUGAAAGUUGGGAUUUAUAUACGAGCAAUCCCCAAUAUUCAUAUUUCUUUAGUGUUCUCCUAAAUUGGACUACAAAACGAUGAUUUAUUAAAUGAGACCUAAAAUUUUAAUAAAAAUAUAUAUGAUGCAGUGGCUAUAAAAGAGUGCACCUCUGGUGAUAAAUAAUGGAGGUAACAUACAAUGGUAAUUAAAUCGUCGAAAGUGGCAGUUCGAAUUAUCCAAACACAGAAACUGUCUGUUGUCACUUUAUGUAGUGAUGUCUAACGUUACACACAUUUGUUGUCUAUGUUACACUUGGAGAGAGAAAUUUCACGACUCUUAGGUUACUUCAGUUUCUCUGUCACUCUCCCUCCCUGUCUCAUUUUCUAUAUUUUAUCUAAUGAGACUGUAACACCAGUUACAGGAGAAGUCUGAGUAGACAGUGACAAAUCUGAGCAUACAUGCGUAGUUUCCCCACUGUUAAUUAUCCAAGCACCAUUAGGCAUUGCAUUGGGAAGAGAGGAAAGACAUUGAUGUUGAAAGGUGAGGAUAUUAUUAUCAAAACGAAGGCUAGUUGGUGGAAAUGAAACGGUUAUAUUUGGUGAUGAAAGAGGAGGUGUAAAAGAGACAGUACCAGCUGAAGAUUGAGGAUCCAUGUAUCCAUUUUCAUUAACCGUUGAUUGUUGAGUUGAUACAGCGUUUACAGUAGGUGUCAUAAAGGCCUGGAGCUGUUGAAUCAGAGAUUGGAGUUGGCCUCUGUCCAUAUGUCCUAAAGACUGACCAGAUUGCUUAGGAAGAACAUUCGCAGCAACAUUCUGAUUGACGUAUUGUUGUUGCAUAAGUAUGAAGUUGUUCUGAAUCUGAGGUCGUGGCUGCGGAUAGGUGUUCUGUCCUCUUGGUGCAAAGCCAGAUGUUGGAGUAGAAGACCUGUUGUUGCGAUGACUAGAGGGAUAGCCAUGGAGUUUGAAACAUUUAACAACCAUAUGACCGAGUUGACCACAAUAGGUGCAAAGAGGUCUAGACUUUGGACGAAAGCCACCAGAAGUCUGAGUAGCAGCCAGAACAGGAUUCUCAGACGCAGAGGCAGCAAUGGAGAGAGACUCAGCAGGGCCUGAGCUGUGAAAGACCGCAGUAGCCGGUGUGGAGGAUGGCUUGAUAGAUUUAUGCCUCUCAUCCUGAAUGACAAGAUUAAACACAUCUUCAGUUGAUGGGAUUGGCUUGAGCAUUAAGAUGUGGCGACGAGUAGGCUCAUAUGCUUCAUUGAGUCCCAUCAAGAACUUAGUCACACGACUUCGUUGUUGAAUACUCUCCCAUAACGCUGCUGCAUUGCAUUCACAACGGCCACAAGUCAACAUAGUUCUUGUAUUCCUCCCAUAGUGUGACCAAUGUUGUAUAAUAGGUGUGUUGUAUAAUAGGUGCUAAUAUCCAUUGAACCUUGUUGUAAGCGACUCAAUUGCUGUUCAAUCUCAUAAACCCGCGGAGCAUCUUCCUGUUUGAAUCGCGAGAUUAUAUUCUUCCAGAUCGAUUCAGCAGUCGACAUAAACAAGAGAUUUUGACAUAUCCUCUUCGAUACAGAGGAUCAUCAGCCAUGUAGCUACCAUAUCGUUACAGCGAGACCAAGAACCAGAAUCCCUAUGACUAUCCGGAAGUUUAGGAAUCGUACCAUCGAUGAAACCUAGUUUGUUACGGACGUUGAGAGCCAUACGCACCGAUCGGCGCCAAGAGUGGAACUCCGCACCGGAAGAGAGACGAUCGGAUACCAAGAUGAGACUGGCAUGAUCGGAGCUAUGAAGAUAAUAUGGAUUCUCGUACUGAUCCAAGAAUGUAGUCUCCGGAGCUAGAUUGGGGUUCAUAGCGACGAAGACGAAGACGAAUGAAGAAAGAUGAGAGCUCGAUUCGAGUGAUGAAUCGACUUUGGAGAUCGAUGAAUCUUGAUUCAGAACGUGGAAAGAAGAAUCAAGAGAAAGUAAACGAAGGUGAUGAUUUCCAGCUCGAGAAGAAUCAAAUCGAAAAUGAACUGAAGAAGAAUCUGAGAACGAGAAAGGCUCAUGAUGAUCGAAAUCAUAGAAUCACCAUGAGAGUGAUGGUCUCAGCUCUGAUACCAUAUUGAAUGGAAGAAUAGGUUGAAUUGAUUAACCAUAGUUUGUUACAAUCCAGUGUAUAUAUAUACACGGUUUAAGCAAAAAGAAUCUAAACCGUAUUGUUUAUCUAACUUAAACCAAACCGGUAUUAUACAAUAGUUGGUAAUGGUUCAUAUGGUUUUUCUGUCUAGUAUAUGGUAACACACUACGUAAAUAUGAUUCAUUCGGUUUUGUUUAGCAAAAAAAUGACUCAUUCGGUUUUUCUAUCUAGUAUAUGGUAAUACAAAAAAAAUCAAAAUUUUCUUGAUAAGACUUACACAGCUAAGAUAAUAAGAAUAUGCAUAGUUUCAUGUAAUUUUUAAGAAAUUACGUUUUGCAAAUUAGUCUUAUUUCUUACUUCUGCGACUGAAACCAAGUACGAAUACUUUAAUUUUUGUUAAGUAAUGGAGUUCCAAACUUUAGAUUUUACAUUUCUUGGUCUAAUAUCAUAUAGUAUAAUAGAUUUUUGAAACACAAAAUUUGUUUCAAACCCAACGCUACAUUAAUUUGAACUACGACUGAAAAAAAAAUUCUUGGUUUUUUUUGCUUUUUUUUUUGGUUGUAACGUCACCCAUGGGGUUCCAUUCAUUUAAAAUGAUAGUCGUCUUUGGGUUAUGUUUGAUAAAAAAACUCAUUCUAUAUAUCAAUUGUAGUUAAAAAAAAAUAGAAUUCUAACUCUAUCCUAGAAAUAAUGUACUAACGAAGGGAACAUUAAAGAUUACCAGUAUAUAUUUCAUAUCCAAUCUUUAAAAGAUGCAUCCUAUAAACAUUACAGUUGAAUCAUGACUAAUGUGUAUAUGUUAUCUGGUCUCUUAGCCGGGGUUUUUAAUUUAUGAUUUGAUAUUUUUUAUUUUUUUAUUUUUUUUAUACUUUUUAGCUAAGAGACGGCUUUUAUAUCUCUUAUUUAAGAGGCGGUUUUUAAUUUUUCUUAGUUAAAAUCUAAGAAAAGUUAAGAACCGUUUCUUAGACGAAGCUAACUCCUGUUAAGACACUGGGGUUAACAAUGGUAUUAUGUUUGGCACCAAACAUAGGUCUGCAACUCACUCACACAUCAAUUUACGAGGAUCGAACAAAAGCCAAAGUAAGUACAAAAUAAACGAACCAUUUAUUAGUUACCAAUUCGUCCAGCCUCCAUUGUCAUUCUCCACCAUUUACCCAAACCCCAUCUUUCUCUUUUAUAUCUCCUUCUCUCUACUCAAUGUUUAAUAAUAACCAAUAUUGCAUCUCCGGUGACGAAGACUCCGUCGUCCUCCGCCUUGGACCUCCUAAUCAACAAUACCGUAACAAUUACAAAUCCACCAGCACUAAACCUUCUACGAAUCACGAAAUCGAUCAUAAUCUCCCUUUAACAAACCCUAAUGACGUCACCGUUGCUCUUCAUAUCGGACCUCCGGUUUCCGAAAAAGAAACCAGCGGGAACCAUGAGGGUUUGACGGCGAGGCAGGGACAGUAUUGGAUUCCUUCUCUUUCUCAGAUCCUUGUCGGUCCCACUCAGUUCUCUUGUUCUGUCUGUAAUAAAACUUUCAACCGCUUCAAUAACAUGCAGGUUUGAAUAUCAUUAUAUACUAUUCAAUUAUUCAUACUACAAAAUUGAUGUAAUUAUAUAUCAUUAGGGGGAAUUUUCUUGAUCUGACUCCCAUAUAUAUUUCCUAUUUCCUUUUCGUUCCACGUUUAUUACUAUCUACAUAAAUAAUCUGAUAUGUGUUGCUAGCUGAUUUAAAAUGGUUAUAAAAAAGUAUUUUGAAAAUAAUUUAAUUAUCAAAAAAAUUGUUGCAUUAACUUCGAAUCUGUACCUCUCGGCGUUUCAAGGGUAUCAAUUCGACAAAAUUUUAUCUCAUACAGUAUUAUCUUCAUAAAUACUAGUUAUGUUAACCAUAUAUGUGUAUAUAAUUAUCAUGUUUUCCAGAAUAUUUAUUAUAACCGUCAAGAUGAUUUAUAAUCAACGAAGUAAAUGUUCAUGAUCUUGACGUGAAACAUGAAAUAACCAAAUUACUGUUUUAUUUAAGUUACAUCUUUCGUAUUUUUCCUGUAGAUGCAUAUGUGGGGUCAUGGUUCGCAAUACCGAAAGGGUCCAGAAUCGCUGCGAGGGACGAAAUCAUCAUCUUCGAUACUAAGGCUGCCAUGUUACUGUUGUGCAGAAGGCUGUAAGAAUAACAUAGGCCAUCCAAGAGCAAAGCCUCUCAAAGACUUUAGAACGCUCCAAACGCAUUACAAGCGAAAGCACGGGGCGAAACCUUUUCGUUGCCGCAAAAAGUGCGAGAAGACAUUUGCAGUGAGAGGCGAUUGGAGAACGCACGAGAAGAAUUGUGGGAAGGUGUGGUUUUGCGUUUGCGGAUCGGAUUUUAAGCAUAA